GACAGAGGGUGCAAACGUUGCUCGGAAUUACCGGGCGUAAAGCGCGUGUAGGCGGGCCCCCAAGUCGGACGUGAAAGCCCCGAGCUCAACUCGGGAACUGCAUCCGAAACUGAGGGCCUUGAGUGAUGGAGAGGGAAGCAGAAUUCCUGGUGUAGAGGUGAAAUUCGUAGAUAUCAGGAGGAACACCGGUGGCGAAGGCGGCUUCCUGGACAUUGACUGACGCUGAGACGCGAAAGCGUGGGGAGCAAACAGG
rnacentral:rRNA from 1 species